AUUGAACGCUUUUGGCAUGCCUUACACAUGCAAGUCGAACGGCAGCGCGGGGCAACCUGGCGGCGAGUGGCGAACGGGUGAGUAAUAUAUCGGAACGUACCCUGGAGUGGGGGAUAACGUAGCGAAAGUUACGCUAAUACCGCAUACGAUCUCAGGAUGAAAGUGGGGGAUUCGCAAGAACCUCAUGCUCCUGGAGCGGCCGAUAUCUGAUUAGCUAGUUGGUAGGGUAAAAGCCUACCAAGGCAUCGAUCAGUAGCUGGUCUGAGAGGACGACCAGCCACACUGGAACUGAGACACGGUCCAGACUCCUACGGGAGGCAGCAGUGGGGAAUUUUGGACAAUGGGCGCAAGCCUGAUCCAGCAAUGCCGCGUGAGUGAAGAAGGCCUUCGGGUUGUAAAGCUCUUUUGUCAGGGAAGAAACGGGUCUUUCUAAUACAGAGAUCUAAUGACGGUACCUGAAGAAUAAGCACCGGCUAACUACGUGCCAGCAGCCGCGGUAAUACGUAGGGUGCAAGCGUUAAUCGGAAUUACUGGGCGUAAAGCGUGCGCAGGCGGUUUUGUAAGACUGUCGUGAAAUCCCCGGGCUCAACCUGGGAAUGGCGAUGGUGACUGCAAGGCUAGAGUUUGGCAGAGGGGGGUAGAAUUCCACGUGUAGCAGUGAAAUGCGUAGAUAUGUGGAGGAACACCGAUGGCGAAGGCAGCCCCCUGGGUCAAAACUGACGCUCAUGCACGAAAGCGUGGGGAGCAAACAGGAUUAGAUACCCUGGUAGUCCACGCCCUAAACGAUGUCUACUAGUUGUCGGGUUUUAAUUAACUUGGUAACGCAGCUAACGCGUGAAGUAGACCGCCUGGGGAGUACGGUCGCAAGAUUAAAACUCAAAGGAAUUGACGGGGACCCGCACAAGCGGUGGAUGAUGUGGAUUAAUUCGAUGCAACGCGAAAAACCUUACCUACCCUUGACAUGGCAGAAAUCCCGGAGAGAUUUGGGAGUGCUCGAAAGAGAAUCUGCACACAGGUGCUGCAUGGCUGUCGUCAGCUCGUGUCGUGAGAUGUUGGGUUAAGUCCCGCAACGAGCGCAACCCUUGUCAUUAGUUGCUACGAAAGAGCACUCUAAUGAGACUGCCGGUGACAAACCGGAGGAAGGUGGGGAUGACGUCAAGUCCUCAUGGCCCUUAUGGGUAGGGCUUCACACGUCAUACAAUGGUACAUACAGAGGGCCGCCAACCCGCGAGGGGGAGCUAAUCCCAGAAAGUGUAUCGUAGUCCGGAUUGUAGUCUGCAACUCGACUGCAUGAAGUUGGAAUCGCUAGUAAUCGCGGAUCAGCAUGUCGCGGUGAAUACGUUCCCGGGUCU
rnacentral:rRNA from 1 species